AUGCAAGACCAAGCGAACAAGAAGCGCUCCUUUCGGCAAUUUCAAGUCUACCUCAAGCUGCAGCCUUACAUUCAAUCCUCGGUGGCCCCCCGUGCGAAUCACAAGCUCAGCUACAAGUACUACGGUCCGUUCAAUAUCAUCGCCAAGGUCAAUGAUGUCGCCUACAAGCUGCAACUCCCUCCCCAAGCCACGGUGCAUCCUGUCUUCCAUGUCUCGCAGUUGCGUCAAGCACUGCACCCGGGCACAACGGCAUCUCCAACCCUGCCAGCAGACACAAGUGACACAACGAUAACGAUCAAGUUCCUCCAGUCGAGAUGGCGCAAGAAGAACGGGGCUAUGAUUGAGCAAGUCCAAGUUCAAUGGUCAGAGGGCGCGGCGAUCGACACCACCUGGGAGGACAGGCAAGCCCUCCAAGCUCGAUUUCCUCAUGCGGAGGCUUGGGGACAAGCCUCGUCUCAAGGAGGAGGGGAUGUUAACGCCCCUGACGACGCGUCCCCACCAGCUGACAAGACCCGGGCCCGGCCCAGCCGCGUCCGACGCGGCAACCCGCGCUUCUUUGGCCCAGAAUGGCACAACCAGCCCGGCCCAACGGCCCCGGCUACUUAA
rnacentral:rRNA from 1 species